UACGUAGGGGGCUAGCGUUGUCCGGAAUCAUUGGGCGUAAAGAGCUUGUAGGCGGCUGGGUAGGUCCGUUGUGAAAACUCGAGGCUCAACCUCGAGACGCCGAUGGAAACCCCCCAGCUAGAGUCCGGAAGAGGAGAGUGGAAUUCCUGGUGUAGCGGUGAAAUGCGCAGAUAUCAGGAGGAACACCGGUGGCGAAGGCGGAUCUCUGGGCCUGUUCUGACGCUGAGGCGCGAAAGCUAGGGGAGCGAACAGG
rnacentral:rRNA from 1 species